GACGUAGGGCGCGAGCGUUGUCCGGAUUUAUUGGGCGUAAAGAGCUCGUAGGCGGCUUGUCGCGUCGUUCGUGAAAACUUGGGGCUCAACCCCAAGCUUGCGGUCGAUACGGGCAGGCUAGAGUUCGGUAGGGGAGACUGGAAUUCCUGGUGUAGCGGUGAAAUGCGCAGAUAUCAGGAGGAACACCGGUGGCGAAGGCGGGUCUCUGGGCCGAUACUGACGCUGAGGUGCGAAAGCGUGGGGAGCGAACAGG
rnacentral:rRNA from 1 species